rnacentral:rRNA from 1 species
GAUGAACGCUGGCGGUAUGCCUAACACAUGCAAGUCGUACGAGAGUUUUUAACUCUAGUGGCGGACGGGUGAGUAACACGUGAGAAUUUGCCUUUAGGAGGGGGACAACAAUUGGAAACGAAUGCUAAUACCCCAUAUGCUUUCGAGUGAAAUGGAUUUUAUCCGCCUAGAGAGAAGCUCGCGGCUGAUUAGCUUGUUGGUAAGGUAAGAGCUUACCAAGGCGACGAUCAGUAUCUGGUUUGAGAGGACGAUCAGACACACUGGAACUGAGACACGGUCCAGACUCCUACGGGAGGCAGCAGUGGGGAAUUUUCCGCAAUGGGCGAAAGCCUGACGGAGCAAUACCGCGUGAGGGAAGAAUGCCUAUGGGUUGUAAACCUCUUUUUUCUAGGGAGGAAUAAAAAUAGACGUGUACCUGAAGAAUAAGCAUCGGCUAACUCCGUG